rnacentral:lncRNA from 1 species
UUGCCAUCCCCCUCAUCUGCGAGGGUGCCGUCAUCUUGGCCAAUGAUGCCUUUGCUAACAUGGUGGGAGGAGGAAGUAGAGAGAGACGGAGAGUGGGCAAUGAGUGUUGCCGGUCAUGGAAAAAGGCGAGAGUGGGUGUUGACAUAUGACUGGCCAUGAAAAAAAGGUGGAGCCGGAAGUGACUAGUCACCUACCAUGCAGAGAAGGAAGAAGUAGAUGGUGAUUGCUUGCCUACUGUAGAGAGAGGAGGAGCAGUUGGUAAUUGAUUGCCAACCAUAAAGAGAGAAGAGUGGAUGGUGAUUAGUCACUACCCAUGGAAAAUGAGGGGUGGUAGGAGAUGACUGGUCAUUGGCCUCGAAGAGAAGGAUGACCAGGUAGUGAGUAGAUGUCCACCAUGGAGGGAGGGGGAAGCAAGCUUGGAUAGAGGUGAGAGUAAGGAAUGAAAGGAGAGAGAUGGAAAGAGGAGGGUGUAGGAAGAGAGAAAGAGGAGAGAGAUUCAUGAAAAUCAAUGCUAUCCAUAUUAAGGGCCCAUUCU